ACGGGAGGUAUGAGAAGGAGAAGGAAAAGGGAAGAGAGAAGUGUAAUGCAGGGCUGCGAUGACUAUGUGCCAGUGAGCUACCAGGAUACUCCAAGAGUAAAGUUUUGUUUCCAGAGAGUGGGGUUUAUCAGAGACUACCUCCAGAAUUUGGGAGUGGAGUGGAUGGAAUGGCCUGCCAGCAGUCCUGACCUCAACCCUGUUGAACACUUGUGGGAUCAGCUUGGGCGUGCUGUUCGUGCCAGAGUGACAAACACAACCACGUUGGCGGACUUGUGACAAACGCUGGUUGAAGAAUGGGAUGCCACCCCACAGCAGUGUGUGACCAGGCUGGUGACCAGCAUGAAGAGGAGGUGCCAGGUUGUUGUGGUUCUUCCACACGCUACUAAUGCUCCUCUUUGAUAAAUUACUAAAUUGUUAAAUUGCCAAUAUGUCUUGUUUCUUCAGACUUCAAUCAUCCAAUAUACCAAACAACACCAAAUAAGAGUCAACAGCAAAGAAAGGCUGUUUGGUAUUGGCAGAGAAGAUUUGGCAAAUUUUUCAUGGGC